rnacentral:rRNA from 1 species
UACGAAGGGGGCUAGCGUUGUUCGGAAUUACUGGGCGUAAAGCGCACGUAGGCGGAUCGAUCAGUCAGGGGUGAAAUCCCAGGGCUCAACCCUGGAACUGCCUUUGAUACUGUCGAUCUGGAGUAUGGAAGAGGUGAGUGGAAUUCCGGGUGUAGAGGUGAAAUUCGUAGAUAUUCGGAGGAACACCAGUGGCGAAGGCGGCUCACUGGUCCAUUACUGACGCUGAGGUGCGAAAGCGUGGGGAGCAAACAGG